AAGACCUUGCGCUUUUGGAGCGGCCGAUGUCUGAUUAACUAGUUGGUGGGGUAAUGGCCUACCAAAGCUUCGAUCAGUAGCUGGUCUGAGAGGACGGCCAGCCACACUGGGACUGAGACACGGCCCAGACUCCUACGGGAGGCAGCAGUGGGGAAUUUUGGACAAUGGGCGCAAGCCUGAUCCAGCCAUGCCGCGUGAGUGAAGAAGGCCUUCGGGUUGUAAAGCUCUUUCAGCCGGGAAGAAAAGGUUGCGAUUAAUAAUCGCAAUUGAUGACGGUACCGGAAGAAGAAGCACCGGCUAACUACGUGCCAGCAGCCGCGGUAAUACGUAGGGUGCGAGCGUUAAUCGGAAUUACUGGGCGUAAAGGGUGCGCAGGCGGUUUUGUAAGUCAGAUGUGAAAUCCCCGGGCUUAACCUGGGAACU
rnacentral:rRNA from 1 species